rnacentral:tRNA from 1 species
GCCGACGUAGCUCAGUGGUUAGAGCACCCGCCUGUCGAGCGGGUGGUCGAGGGUUCGAUUCCCUUCGCCGGCGC